rnacentral:rRNA from 1 species
CUACGGGUGGCACCAGUUAGGCAUAUUCUUCAAUGCGCGCAAGCGUGAAAGAGUGAACCAAAGUGAUUAUUUUAAAUAAUCUUUUAUGAAAUCUAAAACGUUUCAGGAAUAAGGACUGGGUAAGACGAGUGCCAGCCGCCGCGGUAAUCCUCGCGGUCCAAAUCGCAACCAUCAUUAUUGGGUCUAAAACAUCCGUAGCUUGCUUAAUAAGUUUCUUGUGAAAUUCUGGCUCUUAAGGUCAGAGCGUGCAGGAAGUACUGUUAAGCUAGAGACUGGAAGACGUAGAAAGUACAUCAGAAGUAGCGGUCAAAUGUGUUGAUCUCCGAUGGACUCACAAUAGCGAAGGCAUUCUACGAGGACAGUUCUGACAGUAAGGGAUGAAGGCUAAGGGCGCAAAUUGGAUUAGAUACCCGGGUAGUC